GUACUCAAGAGCUUUAUGACAGGAUCUGCCCCAAGCUCCUCCUCUGUAAGGGCUUCAAACAAAGGGUGACUUGCCAAGCAAGAAUUCAUCCAUUCACCUAGUUCUUCCACAUCUGUAAUUGUGUAGAUAAUCCCACCAAUCUCAAGAACAUAGGCAUACUCAUCUAGCAAAUGCGGACUAAUGACCCGCCGGCGAUGAUUCUUCUCCUUGAAGUGGGGAUCUGGGAAUAGGAAAAACAUCUUUGAAAGUUGUCCUUUCCCAAAGUAAUUCGGUAUGUAUUUCAUGGAAUUGGUCCGAACCACUGAGAUAUUUUGAUAUUGACCUGGAUUGGUUGCCCUUAGUGCCGAAAUCCGUUCCUUAACAUACUCUGUCACCUUGUCCCUAAGUUCCAUACCAAUCAUUAGGGUUUCAGGAAAAAGGGUUGAAAGACUAAUAAGUAGACCCCCAAAACCACAACCAACAUCUGCAAAUUGGAUCUUUUUGUUACUAUCCACUUGAUCAGAUGAGAAUAAUUGAGGGUAAUGAAAGGAAUAGUCAACAUGACAGGGGGAGAUUGGAACAGGGAAGUGCGAGUCACUUAGUGGGUUACUAUGUGCCCGUGCUCUGUAGAAGCGUUUCCUAGGCAGGCCAGUUGACUUGCUGAUUGUUGGGUUUGACUCGUUUUCUAACAUAUUCUCAAUAAGAUGACAAAUCUGAAGCACCGGAAAGACGCUUUGGAGGUCGGGCGACGUCGGGGAAAAUCGACAGGAUUCACCAGAGUCAGAAACUGCCGGGAAUUUAAAUGGUAGCUUCGAUUCUCUUUUCUUUCUCCCUUCCCACAAUUUUCCGACGGAGUUUCACUUCGCCGGAGCUUCACUGGUUUGAGGGGAAAUGUAUGGGCAACGGUUAGCUUGAAACACACUGGUAAUAAGCCUUUUUUUUGGCUUCGCC
rnacentral:misc_RNA from 1 species